AGUGAACGCUGGCGGUAGGCCUAACACAUGCAAGUCGAACGGCAGCACAGUAAGAGCUUGCUCUUACGGGUGGCGAGUGGCGGACGGGUGAGGAAUACAUCGGAAUCUACUUUUUCGUGGGGGAUAACGUAGGGAAACUUACGCUAAUACCGCAUACGCCCUACGGGUGAAAGCAGGGGAUCUUCGGACCUUGCGCGAUUGAAUGAGCCGAUGUCGGAUUAGCUAGUUGGCGGGGUAAAGGCCCACCAAGGCGACGAUCCGUAGCUGGUCUGAGAGGAUGAUCAGCCACACUGGAACUGAGACACGGUCCAGACUCCUACGGGAGGCAGCAGUGGGGAAUAUUAGACAAUGGGCGCAAGCCUGAUCCAGCCAUACCGCGUGGGUGAAGAAGGCCUUCGGGUUGUAAAGCCCUUUUGUUGGGAAAGAAAAGCAGCAGGUUAAUACCCCGCUGUUCUGACGGUACCCAAAGAAUAAGCACCGGCUAACUUCGUG
rnacentral:rRNA from 1 species